rnacentral:rRNA from 1 species
UGAAUACGAGAUGCUACGGCGUCGAAGCAGUGUAUGUCAGACUUCCAAGAAAAUCUCGCAAUGUCAUAAAUAAAGAAUGCCUGUACCAUAACCGACACAGGUGGGUAGGUAGAGUAUACUAAGGGGCGCGAGAUAACUCUCUCUAAGGAACUCGGCAAAAUAACUCCGUAACUUCGGGAGAAGGAGUGCCUUCUUUAAGAAGGUUGCAAUAACAAGAUCCAAGCAACUGUUUAUCAAAAACACAGGUCUCCGCUAAGUCGUAAGACGAUGUAUGGGGGCUGACGCCUGCCCAGUGCCAGAAGGUUAAAGAAGUUGGUUAGCUUUUGCGAAGCUGAUGACUGAAGCCCUGGUGAACGGCGGCCGUAACUAUAACGGUCCUAAGGUAGCGAAAUUCCUUGUCGGGUAAGUUCCGACCCGCACGAAAGGCGUAAUGAUUUGGAUACUGUCUCGGAGAGGGACUCGGUGAAAUAGACUUGUCUGUGAAGAUGCGGACUACCUGCACCAGGACAGAAAGACCCUAUGAAGCUUUACUGUAACUUGAAAUUGAAAUUGGACUUUAUUUGCGCAGUAUAGGUGGAAGGCGUUGAAAGUAAUCUUGCGGGAUUAGUGGAGCCAUCAGUGAGAUACCACUCCUAUAAUGUUAGAUUUCUAACUUUGGAUCAUGAUCUGGUCAAAGAACAGUUUCAGGCGGGCAGUUUGACUGGGGCGGUCGCCUCCCAAAUGGUAACGGAGGCGUACAAAGGUUUCCUCUGAACGGGUAGAAAUCGUAUCUAGAGUGUAAAGGCAUAAGGAAGCUUGACUGUGAGACCUACAAGUCGAGCAGGGACGAAAGUCGGUCUUAGUGAUCUGACGGUGCUGAGUGGAAAGGCCGUCACUCAACGGAUAAAAGUUACUCUAGGAUAACAGGCUGAUCUCCCCCAAGAGUUCACAUCGACGGGGAGGUUUGGCACCUGAUGUCGGCUCAUCGCAUCCUGGGGCGGUAGUACGUCCCAAGGGUUGGGCUGUUCGCCCAUGAAAGCGGUACGCGAGCUGGGUUCAGAACGUCGUGAGACAGUUCGGUCCAUAUCCGGUGUAGGCGUUAGAAUAUUGAGAGGAGCCUUCUUUAGUACGAGAGGACCGAGAAGGACAUACCUCUGGUGUACCAGUUAUCGUGCCAACGGUAAACGCUGGGUAGCUAUGUAUGGAGAGGAUAACCGCUGAAAGCAUCUAAGUGGGAAGCCCACCUCAAGAUGAG